rnacentral:lncRNA from 10 species
UGUGCUCCGCGGGGGCAGGGCGUAGGGUGGGCCUCCUACCUCCCCUGAUCUCGCGGUUUGUUCCGUUUCAUUGGAGCUUCCCGGACCGUGUGCUCGACGGUGCCCUAGGUGCCGUGGGGCCACACGCGAGUCUGAUAAGCACCCUCCCCCGGAAUCAUGCGGUGCUGUGAGGCCUAGCGAAGAUGAAGAUAGAAUGCAAGGUAGAAAGUGCUGGAUACCUUUAGAAAGCUGCAGGACUGGUGCGAUGGGAGUUGAGACGUAAGAACCUGCCCGUCCGUAGGGCUCUGGAUGCUGCUGAGGCCCGAGGCCCCUAUGGCAGAUUUGAAAAUUCACCCUUGUAGAGUCAUUCCUGCCUUUGAGCGGACUCCCUUUUAAGGGUCCCACUCUGUUGCCGAAGCUGGAGUGCAGUGGCACGAACAUGUCUCACUGCAGCCUCAACCUCCUGGGCUCAAGCUUUCCUCCUGCCUCAGCCUCCUGUGUAGCUGGGACCACAAGCACUCGUCACCACACCUGGAUAAUUUUUUGAUGUUUUGUAGAGACAGUGCUUCAGUUUGUUGCCUGUGCUGGUCUUGAACUCCUGGCCUCAAGCAAUCCUUCUGCUUUGGCCUCCCAGAUUGCUGAGAUUACAGGUGUGAGUCACUGUGCCCGGCUCCCUUCUGCUUCUUUCCUGGAUUUUGUCAGUUUUGUCUUGCCUUAUUUUGUCAUGUUUUCCAUGAAUCUCUAUAUUUGUAUUUUUGUUUGUCCUUCUUGGAAAUAAUUCAUUAAGUUUUUUUUCAGACAGAUUUUUUUUUUUUUUUUUUUGAGACAGAAUCUCGCUCUGUCGCCCAGGCUGGAGUGUAGGGAUCUUGGCUCACUGUAAACCUCCGCCUCCCGGAUUCAAGCGAUUCUCCUGCUUCAGCCUCCCAAGUAGCUGGGAUUACAGGUGCACGACACCACACCCUGGUAAUUUUUGUAGUUUUAGUAGAGACGAGGUUUCACCCUGUUGGCCAGGCUGGUCUCGAACUCCUGACCUCAGGUGAUCCACCAGCCUCGGCCACCCAAAGUGCUGGGAUUACAGGCAUGAGCCACUGCGCCCGGUCCAGAUCUUUUUUUUUUUGAGACAGAGUCUCGCUCUGUUGCCCAGGCUAGAGUGCCAGUGGCACAAUCUCAGCUGACUGCAACCUCUGCCUCCCAGUUCAAGCAGUUCUCCUGCCUCAGCCUCACGAAUAGCUGGGAUUGCAGGCAUGCACUACCACACCGGGCUAAUUUUUGUAUUUUUAUUAGAGACAGGGUUUUGCCAUGUUGCCCCAGCUGGUCUUGAACUCCUGGUCUCAAGUGAUCUGCCCACCUCGGCCUCCCAAAGUGCUGGGAUUACAAGUGUGAGCCACCGUGCCCGGCGCACUCACACGUUUCUAAUGUCUCUCCAUGUCCAAAUUUUCUCUUCUUACAAGGACACCGGUCACAUUAGAUUAGGGCUCACUCUGAACACCUCAUUUUAACAUAAUCGCCUCUUUAAAGACCUUGUCUCCAGGCCAGACUAGGUGGCUCAUGCCUGUAAUCCCAGCACUUCGGGAGGCCUAGGCGGGCAGAUCACAAGGUCAAGAGAUCGAGACCAUCCUGGCCAACAUGGUGAAACCCCAUCUCUACUAAAAAUACAAAAAUUAGC